UGAGAUUUCCCAUUUCUUCGGAAAGUAAGAUCCCUGAAAGAUGAUCAGGUAGAUAGGUUUGGAGUGGAAGUGUAGCGAUACAUGGAGCGGACAAAUACUAAUCGAUCGAGGACUUAACCAAAA
rnacentral:rRNA from 1 species